rnacentral:lncRNA from 1 species
GAGUUCGACGGAGCUCUCCCCUAGGAAGAUUCCACAGCUACGCCCCUCUCAAUGCUCCAAAAGCCCAAGUGCUGAUGGAGGUCAGGGAGCAGCUGUCAAGGUCGAAAAAGAUGCGCACACACCUCGAGAAGUGCAACCUUAACAAGUUCUACCUCUAUCAUCAUGACCAUGGCCAUGACACGGAGGAGUGUAUUCAGCUCUGAGAUGAGAUCGAGGAGCUCAUCAGAUGAGGUCGGCUCGAUAGAUUCAUCCGAUGCUGACCUGAAAGUAGGGAAGAUCGAUCGAGGGCCCUACCAUAGCCAGAGCCGCCAAGGAGGAAAGAACAGCUUGAACAUCGGCCUCCAAUCGGGAUCAUCAAUACCAUCUCUAGAGGACCCCGACAGGGAGUAGCCAGUGGAUCGGUCGGACCGUCCAAGCGGCAG